rnacentral:rRNA from 1 species
CGCGCCCCGCGCGGCUCGCAAACGAACCCCGGCGCGAGAAGCGCCAAGGAAAUCGAGUACUAGGAGCGCGCCCCCGUAGCCCUCGGCGCCGGGGGCGCGCCUUCUUCUGGUGAUAUAAUCUAAACGACUCUCGGCAACGGAUAUCUCGGCUCUCGCAUCGAUGAAGAACGUAGCGAAAUGCGAUACUUGGUGUGAAUUGCAGAAUCCCGUGAACCAUCGAGUCUUUGAACGCAAGUUGCGCCCGAGGCCUCUUGGUCGAGGGCACGUCUGCCUGGGUGUCACGGCACCGUCGCCCCCACUCCCCUCGGCUCACGAGGGCGGGGGCGGAUACUGGUCUCCCGCGCGCUCCCGCUCGCGGCUGGCCCAAAAUCGAGUCCUCGGCGACGGUCGCCACGACGAGCGGUGGUUGAGAGACCCUCGGACACUGUCGUGCGCGUGCCCGUCACCCCCGGGAUCUCCUGGACCCUCGGGCACCGGCCUUCCAGGAUGCCCUCGUUGCGACCCCAGGU